GUCGACAACUCUCCCAAGGACACGGAGAAUAACUUGGUACAUGUCUUAAGGAAAAACUCAUACAAAAGGGCAAUACUAUUUCCUUACAACUUCGCGUUUCACUAUAUCCUGCUAGUCAUUGAACCCGACACCGGGAUAGUAGAAGUCAUGGACUCGAAGAGUAAACCCCUUGAGGCGUGGGGGGACAUGGCUGAUAUCCUCCACAAGGCUUGGAAACGGUUCACCAACAAAGCUCCGGGUUUAAAGAAUAAAGAUCUUCGAAUAAAACAUGUACCGGUAAGUACUAAUGGCUAGGCCGCGCAUCUCUUUGAUUCUAGUUUCAAUACAAUUAUUAUCAUCCUUGAUUAUAUAUAUAUUAUUUUGAUUGAACUUUGUUCUCGUAAAGUGCUUGAGGCAAGAGGACGGGAAUAAUUUAUGCGGGUUCUACGUUUGCGAGUUCAUCCGCCAGAAUACCCAUCAUGUGAGGGACAUUUUGGAACAACUUGAUAUCGAACGGUUGCGGGACGGUCUUCUAGCAACAGAGCGUGUACGAGCAAUUCAAGAAGAACUGGCGGGGUUCUUACUUGAGCAAGUCAUAGCUCCAGAUGGAGAACACUA